GCCUGGGUGGCUCAGUCGGUUAAGUGCCUGACUUCUGCUCAGGUCAUGAUUUCACUGUUGCUGGGUUCAAGUCCCAUGUCAGGCU
rnacentral:tRNA from 1 species